rnacentral:rRNA from 1 species
UACGAAGGGGGCAAGCGUUGUUCGGAUUUACUGGGCGUAAAGGGCGCGCAGGCGGCUCUUCAAGUCAGAUGUGAAAGCCCCGGGCUCAACCUCGGAACUGCCUUCGAUACUGCGGGUCUCGAGUCCGGGAGAGGUGAGUGGAAUUCCUAGUGUAGAGGUGAAAUUCGUAGAUAUUAGGAAGAACACCAGUGGCGAAGGCGGCUCACUGGCCCGGUACUGACGCUGAGGCGCGAAAGCGUGGGGAGCAAACAGG